rnacentral:misc_RNA from 1 species
GAUGAAGAACGCAGCGAAAUGCGAUAAGUAGUUUGAAUUGCAGAAUUCAGUGAAUCAUCGAAUCUUUGAACGCACAUUGCGCCCCUUGGUAUCCCGAGGGGCAUGCCUGUUCGAGCGUCAUUUCACCACUCAAGCCUGGCUUGGUGUUGGGCGACGUCCUCUUUGGGGACGCGCCUCGAAACGCUCGGCGGCGUGGCACCGGCUUUAAGCGUAGCAGAAUCUUUCGCUUUGGAAGUCGGGGCCCCGUCUGCCGGAAGACCUGCUCGCAAGGUUGACCUCGGAUCAGGCAGGGAUACCCGCUGAACUUAAGCAUAUCAAUAAGCGGAGGA